AUACGGAGGAUCCGAGCGUUAUCCGGAUUUAUUGGGUUUAAAGGGUGCGCAGGCGGGAGAUUAAGUCGGCGGUGAAAUUUUGCAGCUCAACUGUAAAAGUGCCUUCGAAACUGGUUUCCUUGAGUGGAGAUGAAGUAGGCGGAAUUUGUGGUGUAGCGGGGAAAUGCAUAGAUAUCACGAGGAACUCCGAUUGCGCAGGCAGCUUACUAAACUACUACUGACGCUCAGGCACGAAGGCGUGGGGAUCAAACAGGAUUAGAUACCCUGGUAGUCCACGCAGUAAACGAUGAUUACUAGCUGUUUGCGAUACAAUGUAAGCGGCUGAGCGAAAGCGUUAAGUAAUCCACCUGGGGAGUACGUUCGCAAGAAUGAAACUCAAAGGAAUUGACGGGG
rnacentral:rRNA from 1 species